ensembl:lncRNA
AAUUUUUGACAGUCUCUACGGAGACUGAAUAAUUUUGUUUCUAAAGAAAGAUUGUUUUUGUUCUUUUGAAUCAUGAGUGUAGUAACCGAGUCCGCUCUGAAUACUUGAAUAGUCUUGUUCUUUAUACUUAUCGACUCUCAACUAUGUUGAGGGUCAGGUUUGUGAUUAUUUUUACUUCGAUGUAGGUAGGGUAUGGUUAAAUUGCUGAUUUUUCUAGGCGGAGCUGUAAUUUGGAGUCUUUGUACACUGCGUAAAUGUAGUACUACGUUUGAGAACUUUACAUCAUAGGAACUGGGGAUUGAACUCAUGGCUGUUGCACCGAGCCACAUCUCCAGCCACCACCACCCCAACCUCUUUUAAAUUUUGAGACAGGAUCUUGUUAAAUUGCUAAACGGAAUUUGCAGUCCUCCUGCCUCAGCCUCCCAGAGUGCUGGGACUACAGGGAUGUGCCCCCAUGCCCAGCCCCGAAGGCCUCUUUUGCUGAAAAACAUUGACCCUUCACUUCAGCCUUCAGAGGUCUGAUGAGUAUUUACCCAAGAGAAAUGAAACCAUAUGUCUUCACAAAGACUUCUACGCAAAUGUUCAUAGCAGCUGUAUUUAUCACGGCCCAAGCUGGGAAAGAACCUUCAUGUUUAUCACCAGGAUAACGGAGCAGCAAGUGCUGGCUCAUCCAUACAAUGGAGUCCUACUCCACAGCAAAAAGGGAAAACAACUAACUAAUACACACACACCAUGGAGGAAUCUUGCAAAUAUUACACUGAGCCAAAGAAGCUAGACCUCAGCAGCAUGUGGUGGCGUGCUUGUAUCCCAGCUACUCAGGGUG